rnacentral:rRNA from 1 species
GACUCCUACGGGAGGCAGCAGUGGGGAAAUUGCACAAUGGGCGAAAGCCUGAUGCAGCAAUGCCGCGUGUGUGAAGAAGGCCUGCGGGUUGUAAAGCACUUUCAAUAGAGACGAAAAGCCUGGGGUUAAUAGCUCCGGGUCUUGACUUAACCUAUAGAAGAAGCACCGGCUAACUCCGUGCCAGCAGCCGCGGUAAUACGGAGGGUGCAAGCGUUAAUCGGAAUUACUGGGCGUAAAGCGCUCGUAGGCGGUUUGUUAAGUCGGAUGUGAAAGCCCCGGGCUCAACCUGGGAACUGCAUUCGAUACUGGCAAACUAGAGUAUAGAAGAGGCAAGUGGAAUUCCAGGUGUAGCGGUGAAAUGCGUAGAUAUCUGGAGGAACAUCAGUGGCGAAGGCGACUUGCUGGUCUAAUACUGACGCUGAGGUGCGAAAGCGUGGGUAGCAAACAGGAUUAGAUACCCUGGUAGUCCACGCCCUAAACGAUGUCAACUAGGUGUGUGAGAGUCUAACUCUUGCGUAUCGAAGCUAACGCGAUAAGUUGACCGCCUGGGGAGUACGGCCGCAAGGCUAAAACUCAAAUGAAUUGACGGGGGCCCGCACAAGAGAU